UAGGGAAUCUUCCACAAUGGACGCAAGUCUGAUGGAGCAACGCCGCGUGAGUGAAGAAGGUCUUCGGAUCGUAAAGCUCUGUUGUAAGAGAAGGACGUGUGUGAGAGUGGAAAGUUCACACAGUGACGGUAACUUACCAGAAAGGGACGGCUAACUACGUGCCAG
rnacentral:rRNA from 1 species